AACGAACGCUGGCGGCAGGCCUAACACAUGCAAGUCGAGCGCCCCGCAAGGGGAGCGGCGGACGGGUGAGUAACACGUGGGAAUUCUCCUCAAGGUACGGAACAACUCAGGGAAACUUGGGCUAAUACCGUAUGAUGCAGAGAUGCCAAAGAUUUAUCGCCUUGGGAUAAGCCCGCGUCAGAUUAGGUAGUUGGUGGGGUAACGGCCUACCAAGCCUGUAAUCUGUAGCUGGUCUGAGAGGACGAUCAGCCACAUUGGGACUGAGACACGGCCCAAACUCCUACGGGAGGCAGCAGUGGGGAAUCUUGCGCAAUGAACGAAAGUCUGACGCAGCCAUGCCGCGUGAAUGAUGAAGGUCUUAGGAUUGUAAAGUUCUUUAGCCUGUGACGAUGAUGACGGUAACAGGAGAAUAAGCCCCGGCUAACUUCGUGCCAGCCGCCGCCGUAACAC
rnacentral:rRNA from 1 species